rnacentral:rRNA from 1 species
UACGUAGGGGGCAAGCGUUGUCCGGAAUCAUUGGGCGUAAAGAGCGUGUAGGCGGCCCGAUAAGUCCGCUGUGAAAGUCCAGGGCUCAACCCUGGAAUGCCAGUGGAAACUGUCGGGCUAGAGUCCGGAAGAGGCGAGUGGAAUUCCUGGUGUAGCGGUGAAAUGCGCAGAUAUCAGGAAGAACACCAAUGGCGAAAGCAGCUUUCUGGGACGGUACUGACGCUGAGACGCGAAAGCGUGGGGAGCGAACAGG